GUUAGCACUCUGGACUUUGAAUCC
rnacentral:piRNA from 4 species